UCUUCCUGCCGUGUGACUGGCGUUUCCUCCCUAAACUCGGGCCGCACCUUGGUGCGGCCCUUUUUUUGUAUCGCG
rnacentral:sRNA from 1 species